AGUAGACCUUUUAAAUGUUGUUACUUCAUCUGUGUUUUACUUGAGAGACAUAUUAUACACUCGAUGUGGAAAGAACUGAAUUUCUCUUUCAAUACCUACCUAUCACCAUUCAAAUUUUAUCUUCCUCAGCUUUAGGGAUGUAACAUGGCAAGUGAUAAGAAAUGAAUUUUCAGGAUGAGUGACAAGAUGUUGGAGGUGUUUGAUAAUCUUUUUAAACUGGUGCUUUAUGUACAUGAGAUGUACUACUAUAAUUAAGACAACUUUUCUUGCUAGUUAAAUCUCAUAAGCCAGUAAUUUACAAACUUCUUUCUCUGCAUCGUUCUUUGUUGAUGUGGACUAAGUUAACCUUAUGCAAGGUUAGGUUUUAAGUAGUGUACCUUUGUGAUUUUCUAAUGCAUUUUCCAAGGUGCUACAAAUGGUCCAGACUUCUAGGCUUGACAGGUAUAAACCUAGGUAUUUGAAAAUGCUAUUUGCAUCUCCCCUUGAUCACUUAUACCCCAGAAGCAUGCUUUUUAAUAUGAAAGUAUUUUUCAAAAGAGAAACAAAUCCUUGUUGUGAAUCUUAACAUGCUAUUUAGCUGCUGGCUGUGAUGGAUUUUAUUUUUCCUUUAGUCUGGAUCAAGCUGUGUAAGAGACAUUCAUGUUAUUUAAAUCAUGUAUUGUACUGCUGUUUAUAUGGAUGUUUUGUGAGGGUGCUUUGAAAUGCCUUGCAUCAGGGACUAGGAACAACUGAAUUAUUUUUUCAUGGGACUGUGUAAAACAUGUAACUAGGUAUUACUUUGGUAUAUAAUAAUUUGUAGCCUUACACUGGAUUUUUCUAUUUUAGUAGAGA